UACGAAGGGGGCUAGCGUUGUUCGGAAUUACUGGGCGUAAAGCGCACGUAGGCGGGUUGUUAAGUCAGGGGUGAAAUCCUGGAGCUCAACUCCAGAACUGCCUUUGAUAUUGGCAACCUAGAGACUGGAAGAGGUUAGUGGAAUUCCCAGUGUAGAGGUGAAAUUCGUAGAUAUUGGGAAGAACACCAGUGGCGAAGGCGGCUAACUGGUCCAGCACUGACGCUGAGGUGCGAAAGCGUGGGGAGCAAACAGG
rnacentral:rRNA from 1 species